AAGCCAAGGCGAAGCUUUUGGCUGUGGCAGAAGAACUGGGUCACGAAAUCCGCGUGUUCACAAAUUCGGCAAAAUCUACAACUCCCAGUGAACCAUCUGCAUCUUAUGAAGAAGAACCAGAUGAUUUUUAUGAGCUUACACCGGAAGAUUAUUAUAGAAUCACUUCUGACCGUAUGGGAGCAAAAUUUCAAAUGCUGAAGACCCGUAAACUCCGGGAAGCAGAGGCUGAAGUGCAGAAAGCUGCUCGA
rnacentral:misc_RNA from 1 species